GGAGCUCUAGGGCGAGUCACUCAGAUCACUGGCAGCAGGAGUGUGUGUCUCUUAUAAAGCGGGGACAUGCAAAUGAGGGAGACAGUUUCCUGUUUAAAUCUGUGCCUCUCUCUGCCCAGGCUGCACCCGGAGACACAAUCCGCAGCCCCUGGGUCUGUGCAGUGACCAGCCAGUCCCUGAGAACUUUCCCCUCCAGCAUCCGGAACAAUGGGAUUUUUGCUCCUUGUAAUUUUCGCUGUAGCCGCUUUGGAAGGUGUCCGGUCCCAGGUGCAGCUGGUGGAGUCCGGAGGGGAUGUGAAAAAGCCCGGAGACUCUCUCCGCCUCUCCUGCAAAGCCUCCGGGUUCACCUUCAGCAGCGCCUACAUGAACUGGGUCCGACAGGCUCCUGGCAAGGGACUAGAAUGGGUGGCGGCUAUAAGCGACGGUGGGAGUCCUAUAUACUACCUUGAUUCCGUCAAAGGCCGAUUCACCAUCUCCAGGGAUAAUCCCAAGAGUGAGCUGUAUCUGCAAAUGACCGGCCUGAAGCCCGAGGACACCGCCCGCUAUUACUGUGCGAGACACAGUGACACGAAACCGGUGCCCGGUCGCAGAUCCAGCCCCUGGACCCCCAAGUUUAUGUGAAAAAGCC